UUCUUUUUUUUUUUUUUUUUUUUUUUUUUUUGAGAUGGAGUCUUGCUCUGUCGCCCAGGCUGGAGUGCAGUGGCAUGAUUUUGGCUCAAUGCAAGCUCCGCCUCCUGGGUUCAAAUGAUUCUCCUGCCUUAGCCUCCCAAGUAGCUGGGACUACAGGGGCGUGCCACCAGGCCUUGCUAAUUUUUUGUAUUUUUAGUACAGACGGGGUUUCACUGUGUUAGCCAGGAUGGUCUCGAUCUCCUGACCUUGUGAUCCACCUGCCUUGGCCUCCCAGAGUGCUGGGAUUACAGGCGUAAGCCACCGUGCCUGGCCGAUGCCACCUCUUCUUGAAAGCCUUCUCAAUUCCUCAAAAUACCUAAACCAAGGAUCCCUUUGUGUUCCUCUAUUUCUAGCCUCGUCCUUGUUUCCUUGGACUGUCAUUGUUUAUGGGGAUACCUCCUCCACUCACCUGAAUCCUGCAAGCAUAGUGAGUGGCUGAAUCCAAGCAACCUUUGGUCACCUUUGUGUUCUGGGCCUUUAGAGUGCCUGAUGCAUGGAGAACAGCCAUUUAUUCCUUUUUCUUUUCCUUAGGAGUUACCUUUCAUGGAAGGGUAAGCAGGAAGCAACUACAAGAUCAUCAUUUCAAAACAAUAUGAAAGCAGAAUGGGAAAUGCCAUGGCAUGCUCCCUCUUUUCAGUCUCCACAAAGAACAAUGUUCUUCCCAACCUGCCAAGACAGCCAAAUAACAAAAGAAAUACCCGUGGAGCCCACCUGAAGUGCACAGAUCUGGGGACAUUGGGAGGAACAGAGGUAGCUUAGUGACUCUACUGUCCCUACCACCCAACCUGCUAUUAGCCCUGCUGGUCCGCUCGUGUUUGAGGUCAUGAGUCAG
rnacentral:lncRNA from 10 species